AUGCAAAGUGAAAUUGCUUGUGCAAAAAAUUUGUAAGUACAAAUGAUAUGUCAGAGCUAUUUUAUGCUUCUGUUGGUGAGAUAACGUUAAACUUGUUAGAGCCUUGAGUAAUUUUACAUUUCACAUAUUAGUGGCAACCCUACAGCUGCUCAUUGUCGGAGGCAAAUUAGAAAUAGUUUUAAUUUGGCGACAGUGACAACUGCUCUAAAUAACUGUGCCCAUAAGAACGUGUGUAUUUUAAUAUUUUACAGAUUUUGUCCUGUCGUCUGCCGCCGUAUUGUGUCUCAUAAAUUAAUGUUUAGCAAUAUAUGCCUAAAUAUAUAUCUUUCCAUCCAUUGCUUACAAUGAGCAGUUAUUUUGGUGGUAUGACAGUUCUGUUUUGUAUUUUGUAUAUGAAUAAAACAUAAAUGUUAGCUAAAGAUGGCGAAUAGUUAUUGACUACACACAAAUAUGUAUACACAUAUUAAGUUAUUGACUGGGAGCUCAAACUUUCGCUACAUCAGAUCAAUAAUACCUACGCGAUGCCAUUUCGAUAAUGAUUAUUACAUGACAUUAAAUGCCCGCACAAAAAUAUUUCCAUUCUUAAUGACAAUAGAAUCGACAGAUGACAAUGGCUGCUGCCCGUGAAGGGCGAGAGGUUCGUUUUCUGGGCUCCACCCUAUCGAAAAUUUAGGCACAAUUACGAUUUCUUUGGCAUCGCGAUCUGAACCUGCACAUUGACACAUACAUACAUCACUUCGGAUUCGUUCGGAUCUCAAACGCUGAACCCAUAGACGAUGACAGGCGACAGGCUGCUUCUGUCAAAUAUUACAAUACACACGUUCUUUUGGGCACAGUUAUUUAAACAACAACAUGACUUCACGGCAGCAGUCUUGCAGUAGUCCCUGUCACUAAAUUAAAGCCAUUCCUAAUUUUGCCGACGACAAUGGACAACUGUAGUGUUAACACUAAUAUGUGAAAUGUAAAUUAAUUUAAGCUCUAACAAGUCUAACGUUAUUUUACCAACAGAAACAUAAAAUAGCACUUAUAUAUAAAUUUAUAAUUUAAAACAAAUAAAUAAAACUAUUACUUUUUGUACAAAAA